rnacentral:rRNA from 1 species
GUCCCUACGGGACGCAGCAGUGAGGAAUAUUGGUCAAUGGCCGGAAGGCUGAACCAGCCAAGUCGCGUGAGGGACGACUGCCCUAUGGGUUGUAAACCUCUUUUAUAAGGGAAGAAUAAAUGCUACGUGUAGCAUGAUGCCUGUACCUUAUGAAUAAGCAUCGGCUAACUCCGUGCCAGCAGCCGCGGUAAUACGGAGGAUGCGAGCGUUAUCCGGAUUUAUUGGGCGUAAAGCGUCCGCAGCCGGUUUAUUAAGUAUAGAAUA